AUGUUCUUUAGUUACUUGGUGGAGGGCUGGAACAGGAGAGGCUGUGUGUUUAGUUUUCUUCAGCUUUGUUUUUCUUUUUGGAAUUUUUGCACCAAGCAUUUCAUUGCUGGGAGUAACUUUCAAUUAUCUGAAAUUCAGUAUACUAUCAAAGGACCCAACAUACAGGGAAAAUGGAAGCUCAGGCAAAGAAGCUGGAUGCUCCUUGUGCCAGUCCUCAGUCUGCUAUGCCGGGACACACGACAGGGACACAAGCGGACAACAUGCCCUCAUCACGGGGAUGUGCCAAAGCAGCCAUGGAAGCCAGGGAGAUGUACAAAUUUCCGUGUCGAAGGGCAUCGCCGAAACAACUGGAGGAGGAGGUCGUAUGGAUCAAAAUGGUUUCUUUCUCACUGGAUCUAG
rnacentral:rRNA from 1 species